UCUUGGUGCGAUGGUGAGCAAGAUAUGUGAGUCCAUUCUCUGGAAGCACCGCCGACGAAAUGAAGGUGUCGGUUGGGUAUUUGUUUCAUUGAUAAUUGAUUGAGAAAGGUUUUGUGUGUUCUCAAAAGAAUACAAAGGUCCACCAUCUAGGAGCGGUGGGGGACUCGUCGUCGAGGCCUUGACUCAAUUCAGUUGGUAAUGGGGUAUUAGAUGUGAAACAAGAGAUUUCUGGAGGUGACCAUUGGAAUUCUCUUUCAGCCCCCACGGCCGUUUAAAAAUACCUGGAUAGUGUUAUCUCAGCUUUGUUGCCACUCAGGAAUGUCUUCUGACCAGUUGUUAAAGGAUCAAAAACGGCGCUCAAAAAGACGGUAUUUAUUGAAGACUUGAGGUCCAAAAUGGAAGUUUUGUGGCGUUUGUCAAGGCGCCUUUGUUUAUCUCACGAUUUUUAUGCCCGAACUCUAAAUGAGCGGAGGGCAACCCGUGGACCAGGACGACGACGACGACGACGAGGAGG